UACGAAGGGAGCUAGCGUUGUUCGGAAUCACUGGGCGUAAAGCGCACGUAGGCGGCUUUCUAAGUCAGGGGUGAAAUCCUGGAGCUCAACUCCAGAACUGCCUUUGAUACUGGAGAGCUUGAGUCCGGAAGAGGUGAGUGGAACUCCGAGUGUAGAGGUGAAAUUCGUAGAUAUUCGGAAGAACACCAGUGGCGAAGGCGGCUCACUGGUCCGGUACUGACGCUGAGGUGCGAAAGCGUGGGGAGCAAACA
rnacentral:rRNA from 1 species